CACGCCAAGUAUGAAUGCCCAAAUCCUCUCACGCAUGACCAAAAAUAUUCCCAUAAUAUUUUUUGGUCCUCACUCUCUCUCACGGAUGUUUUCUAUGAGAGCUCUUCAGAUUUUCGCACACAAUAGCCAUAAACAAUUUAUGGUAUGCAUAUAGAGUUAUAGAUGGAAUCAAAUGCCACCUAGAUAAGGCUGGUUUGAAUCAAAUUCAAAUCCUGUGUUAUCCUAAUCCAAUGAGAGGCAAGAGUGGGCAUGAAAGAAGAGUUGGAUGUGCUGAAUUCUAAUGAUUUCUCCCUUUCUCUUUAUCACACAAAUCAAAAGGGAUGAUGAGGUGUCACCCAAACAU
rnacentral:lncRNA from 1 species